GUGUUUGCUUCAGCAGCACAUAUACUAAAAUGGGAACAAUAUAAAGAUUAGCAUGGCCCCUGUGCAAAGAUGACAUGCAAAUUUGUGAAUCAUUCUGUAUAAAA